UACGUAGGGUGCAAGCGUUGUCCGGAAUUAUUGGGCGUAAAGAGCUCGUAGGCGGUCUGUCACGUCGGCUGUGAAAACCCAAGGCUCAACCUCGGGCCUGCAGUCGAUACGGGCAGACUAGAGUUCGGUAGGGGAGACUGGAAUUCCUGGUGUAGCGGUGAAAUGCGCAGAUAUCAGGAGGAACACCGGUGGCGAAGGCGGGUCUCUGGGCCGAAACUGACGCUGAGGAGCGAAAGCGUGGGGAGCGAACAGG
rnacentral:rRNA from 1 species